UGUAUUUAAGAAAGAUUAAGGGAGGC
rnacentral:piRNA from 1 species